GUGACUGGAGCUCCAACAGCCAUCUUGGAUCUUGAAAGGACCCCAGGAAUGAAUGCCACACAAAGCAAAGCAACAAGGUGAAAGACCCUGGGUUCCUACCGCCAAAGGGCACAAGACCACGAUCCACCUGCUCUUUUCCAGACCUCCACAUGAAUAAAGGAAACCGUUUCCUUAGGGAGUGAAAUCCUGCAAACUAUGUUUCCUGUGCAUUCUGCCUCUCUGUCCCUUCACUGGGACUGCCCAAUAGAAGCUACUAGACAGAGAUUGGGAGUUGGGAGAAGGAUUAAAAUCUAGAAGAACUUGAGCACAAAUAUGGUCCUCAUGGGAAUCUGGUUUGAAGAUGGAA